rnacentral:lncRNA from 1 species
AUAUGAGAUGGAAUUGGCUCUUUGCAGAUGAGUUCCUUUCAGUCUCUGGAGGUUGCUCUGAACUCUGUUAGCUCUUCUCUCACUAUCUUUUUCCCCAGGGUUUUUUGGGAGAUGGAAGUCUAGAAUUUAUAACCUGAUUUUUGUGACUUUGUGGGCUCAAAAGAGAGAGGUCCAAGUCCAAGAUUUUUCUGUUAUAUUUUAUUUAUUUAUUUAUUAUUAUUAUUAUUAUUAUUAUUAUUUUUUUGUUUUUUUGUUUUUUUUUGUUUUUUUGUUUUUUGUUUUUUUUUUU